AGUGGUUGCUGCCCUUGACCACUGUGAAGACUGGUGUGGGAAGGGUCGCUUUGGAUGCACUUGAGCAGGGGUCCCCAACCCCUGAGCCAUGGAGCCGCAAGGAGCCACACAGCAGGAGGUGAGCGGUGUCGAGUGAGGGAGUGAGGGAAGCUUUGUCUGUAUUUACAGCCACUCCCCUUUGCUCACAUUCCCGCCUGAGCUCCACCUUCUCAGAUGAGCAGCAGCAUUAGAUGCUCAUAGGAGAACGCACCCUGUUGUGAACCGUGCAUGUGAGGGAUCGAGGUUGCGCUGUCCUUAUGAGAGUCUAAUACCUAUUGAUCUGUCACUUUCUCCCAUCACGCUCAGGUGGGACCAUCCAGUUGCAGGAAAACAAGCUUGACACGCCCACUAAUUCUACAUUAUGCUCCUACCUCCCGGCAGCCUCUCCAGGCCCAGAACUUUCUCCAGUCAGCCUCUACAGACCAAGCUCAUGACUCACAAUGGCCUAUUUAGGCCCAUACCCUACGUCACGGCAGCCUCCGCAGAUGAGGCUACUGCCUCACAACAGCCUCCACAGGCACAGCUCCAUCGUUACAAUGGCCUCUUUAGACCCAGCUCCUGCCUCCCAGCCUUCUCUCCAGGCCCUGAACUUUCUCAAGUCGACCUCACCAGGCCCAG
rnacentral:lncRNA from 10 species